AUGAAGACACAGAGGAGCACCCUGUGCAGACCCAGGGAGAAGAUGGCAUCCGUAAAGCCAGGGAGAGAGGCCUCAGGAAGAGCAGGCCUGGUGGACAUCUGGAUUUGGACUUCCAGCCUCCAGGACUAUGGGAAGACAAAUGUCUGUGGUUCCAGCCGCCCAGGGUAUGGGACGCUGCAGGGCAGGCCCAGAUCCAAUCUCUCUGCAUAUUCUGUUGUCACCAGGCAAUGCCUAGCUGCAAAGGAGGCUGGGAAAUGUAGUCUUGAUUCUGGGUGGCCACAUGCCCACCAAGUCAGGAGAGUAGCUACUGUAGAAGGAGGGGAGACUCAGCGGCAGUGGUGGACUCGCAGUCUCUGCCGUCGCAGCGCGUGUGCAGGUCUGCAGAGCACACAGGAAACUCAGCUUCCUGCCAUUCACAGGUGCCCGGUCUUCCCCCUCAGGGCCCAGCUGUACAUGGAACAGGCUGCCAGCCCCUCUUCUGGAAGGGUCAUUGUCUGCGACACACACCGGAGAUGAUGACAAGGAAACUGGGUCAUUUGUAAAACGGACUGGUUCAGGUCUGGGUAGGACCCAGGGCAUGGCCAGCUACCUCUGCAGGGGCUGUGUGUUGGGGAACCCUGCUGCAGUGAGACAGCACCUCCACACCUCAGCUCGGAGCCGCGGCCUGUUUCCCUUCAUGAUGCACACGUCGGGCUUGCAUCUGCGGACCCUGGCUUCCCCACGGCUGUGGAUGAAGGAAAGCGACUCGUCCCCACCUCUACCCUUGGGAACAGUACUGUGACCUCGAGUGGCUAAAAUAUGACAAACGUUCAAAUAACUUAAAAAACGGCCUGGCGCGGUGACUCACACCUGUAAUUCCAGCACUUUGGGAGGCUGAGGUGGGCGGAUCACGAGGUCAGGAGAUAGAGACCAUCCUGGCCAACAUGGUGAAACCCUGUCUCUGCUAAAAAUACAAAUAAUUAGCCAGGUGUGGUGGUGCAUGCCUGUAAUCCCAGCUACUGAGAAGGCUGAGGCAAGAGAAUCGCUUGAACCCGAGAGGCGGAGGUUGCAGUGAGCUGAGAUCAUGCCAUUGCACUCCAGCCUGGGCAACAGAGCAAGACUCCGUCUUGAGAGAAAAAAAAAAAGAGAAAGAAACUGAGGCUGGGCACAGUGGCCUGUAAUCUUAGCACUUUGGGAAGCCAAGGCGGGAGGCUUGCUUGAGCCCAGGAGUUCAAGACCAGCUUGGGCUGGUCUAGUGAGCCCCAUCUCCACAAAAAAUCAGACACCUAGCCAGGUGUGGUGGCAUGCACCUGCAGUCUCAGCACUUUGGGAGCCAAGGCAGGAGGAUGGUUUGAGCCCAGAAGGUCGAGGCUGUAGUGAUUCAUGAUUGCACC
rnacentral:lncRNA from 1 species